UUGUAUUCGCUGGACAUUUUUUAUUUCGUUUCUGUUUGUCUUCAUUACAAUUCUUCGACGAAAAAUUCGUUUGAUUCGUUGUAAAUAUAUUUUCUUUUUAUUUCUAAUAAAAUAAAUGGAUAAACCUGCAAAUUGAAGUUCCAUUAACACUCCACCACACACUGUGCUAUACCAUUUUCACCGGUAUACUCAUUUGAUGAUAAGAAGCGGCUAUAAAAACAAAGACAACCGGAGAGAACACAUUUUUUUUCUUCAAAUUGUGAGAGUGUAUGAGUGUGGUGGUGGUUUGUGUAUCGUUUGUAUGGAAAUGGAAGCUAUCAACAUCAAAUGGAGUGUGCCAAUGAUGUAUAUCGAUUGCGAAAUCCAUAAAAAUUCCAUCAAAAUGUGGAUCGAUUCGCUACAUUGGACGACCAAUGUCGGACGCACUUGAGGAAUAGCAACACACAUACAGCUGUUUAUGUUCAACUCCAAUCAGAAUAAGAUUUUAUGAAUUGGCUUUGUUCUUCAUUUGUUUGCUUCAAUAAUACCUGGCACAGACGACGCCGCCGUCGCCACCGACAACAGCCCGAGCGCACACAAUGGGAAUUAGGCUGCGAUCAACUAAUUGGUAAAUAACCACUCCGAGGUAGAGUACAUGAGCAUUAACC